GGGGGGAGCUCAGGAUCCUGGGCUGUGUCCCCGGGCACCCUGGGAUCUGGGGCCGGUGCUUCUGGAAUCGCACUUCUGGUCCGUGCAGCCCCCU
rnacentral:pre_miRNA from 1 species